rnacentral:snoRNA from 1 species
GAGUUAGCGAUUAUUAUAAAAUAAUUCUUCGUUUUGGCUUGCUUAAUUUGGACAUGAUAAGCUUCUUUUUACAACCAUAGAAUUUGAGCUCC